CAAAAAUGAAAUUAUUUGCUCAUAAUAACCCAUUGCUCUACGUCUGCGCAGCGCAACGGUAGCAGCAUCGUGUUUGGCUGCGAGUUUUCCAAUUGGACAGCGGCCCUAAACGCACCGCUAAAAGUUACAGCGCUUAGAGACAACAAAGUCAAAGUUUUCAGGUGGCUGACACAAAGCCACCUCCCUCGACACGUCGCUCCUGGCACAAUGAACAAUGGACAUAAGAAAAAACCCAAAAAAAACAACAACUCCAAAUGUGUUUGAAAAUAUUCAGCUUAUUUUUCAGACACACCUCCAAUUCUGCUACUACUUCCAUCAACAUGGAAACACGCAGACCUGAUGGCUGCUGUGCACGGUCUGAGCUUAAUACCUGCCUAGCGCCGUGCAGCAGAGCCAGACUGCAUUAAAACAGACAAAAAUAAAUAAAUAAAAGGAAGGUCGCAGAAAUCAGAAACACUCCAAAUCUCCCACACAUCUCCAGUCAGGCUUUCUCUCUCGUACUAGGCGGCUCGCAAAUAAAGCGAUUUACCUUGGUGUCUCUCCGCACACCGGGGGCAAAACAAUGCAGCGCCGUUUCCUUUAGAAAUGUGUGUGUGGUGGAGGGGAGACGGACUGUAAAACCCCUGUGGCUCAAAUCAUCCACCCCCACCGCUGCAUCUUGUGCCACAAUGUGUCUCCUAACUGUCUAACAUGGUGACAUGGAUGAGGGCACAGCAGGGAGAGAAACAGAAAGAGACACAAAGACUGGUGGUGCUGGUGGUGGAGACAAGCUGGUGAACUGGUGCAGCGUCUGAUGUUCUCCUACAGACUGAUGGAAAGCAGGGAUGACAUAAGAGCCAGGCAACCUGAGGAAGGGGAGGUUAAGGAUGCAGAGGCACACUAACAAAAGCAGCGGCAUUUUAAUGUGAAACAGAAUUUCAGAGCUUAGUCGCCAUGACAACAACACACUUACACCACCGUUUAAUUGCUGCUGACUGCAGUUGUCUGCCGUCUCUCAAUCUGCUGGCAACAUGUAGAACCUGUUAUUACUGUAAUUUGUGGGCAAGUAUAAGCUGGCACAGAGCCGCUCGGCUUCAUAUUUAUAUGUAUUUGUACGUGUCGCUGACAUAAAAGGCCGAUCAGGGAGCUUUCACGCAACUUGUAGUCCGUCUAUCUUACGACAUGAAUGAUCGCUCGCCGUAUUUCGGCCCACGGCGAAAUGUCUCAUUGGCAUAAUGUAGUUGGCCAAGUUGAUUGAAUCUUUACAUUAUUUUGUGAAGUAUUUCUUCGCCGCAGCACACUCUGCUCUUAAGUUCAUUUAGCUUGAGUGGAUCACUUAAGCUAAAUGAACUCCUUCACUCGAGGCGCAGAGUGACCCCCGUCCCACAGGGACUGAUUCACUUUACACCCAUAUAGAACUGUAGGCGGUGCGGGGAAAGUGUUCAAGCCAGGACAGGAUGGAGGUAUUCUCCUAGGCUUCAAACAGCUGGAAUGAGAAGCAAGACGAAUGUGCAGAGAUUAUCAACAAUCGCAGGCUGAAGUGGAUAUCUGACGUGAGACAAGAUGAGCUCAGAGGGAAUGUCGUAUCUCUCUUCCCAUCGCCGGAUGUCUUUGUAGCAGAUUUCAACAGGGGGAAAAAAAGGGGGGAUAUUAUCAACUUUUAUGUCAAGAUGAAGCAUUUUAAAUAUUGAAAAAAAAAAGCCCAUAAAUGACACAAAUUUCAUCCUGUGCAUGAACUUACUGACAAAAUCAUUGAAUUUUUUUGGUUUCCAUCAAAUACAUUAGCAUGUUUAUGGAAAUGGUUGAGCGUUAUUACAAAAAAAACAAAAAACAUACAAAUUCUUUUAGUGCUGAAAAAAACAACAACUCUAGAUCAACAUUUGGCAAAAGUAAUAGAAACAAACAACUAAAUAUGGAGGUCAUCAGAAGCAUAAAAAGUUUUUUUUUUUUUCCCAUCACAAAACACUCAGCUGUACAUUCCUGUGCACUGAAUUCAUUUGUUAUACCCCCCGGGAAAUACACACACACGCACACACACAAGCAAACCCUCUUUCUCUCAAACAGAAACACUCUGCAAACUUUUGGCCAUGUCUGAGCCUGCACUCGGUAAGAUAGGGAUGGGUUGCCUGAUAGCAUUGUGACCGUUGACAGGAAACUGAAACAGGGUGGGAUGGUUCGGGGCCACAAAUUUGCAUGCCUGUUUGUGCCGCUACGUACGCGGUUCGGUGGUUGGACGUUUGCCCUUUUACCCUCCUGUCAAACGCAAGCCAAACGCUUCCCCAAAUUCAGUGUUGUUUUUUUUUGUUUUCCCCUCUUUCUGAAUGCUGGUAGUCAUUCCUGAAAUGACUGGGCUCUUGUGCUCUGCAUGAAUGACCGUGUCUCCCUAAAACCAGAAAAAAGAAAAAAGAAAAAGAGAGAGACCAUACUGUAGAACAGUCUGCAUUCUGCCACUUGGCCACCAGACGGGACAGUGGGGAGGCUGUACUGGGAGGCGUUAUUGUGCUCUGGUGAAUAGAGAGCCUGUCACAGACACACAAACACAGCGGCCCAGUGGCUCAGCAUCUAGUUUCAAAUGCUAUCUUGUCUAAUAUUAUGUGCCGUUUUUGUACAACACAGAUAUGAUUUCUAAAAAAAAUAAAUAAAUAAAAAAACUGACAAAAGAAAACAACUGAAAAAUGGUUUAAUAAACAUAAAGCUCAAAAAUGAAAUGUCCUUUGCUGAGGUGACUAACAGAUCUCAGUCCUGCAUUUUGAUGCUACUUCUGUUUUUCACAUUUUGUCACGCUGUUACUUCAAACUACAUUGUAUUUUUUUUUUUAUUUGCCAUAAACCAUCAACAGGCAGCACGCUAGUAUGAUGUGGAGGAAAAAACUGACAUGGCGUUUACUCACAAAACUUCUACUUAGUGUGGCAUGCAUAUGUUUUCCACUCUGUUUAAUUUUGUGCUACAAUCAGCUUCUGCUACCAUUACAGCUGCAGUUCUUUUGAGAUAUGUCUCUUUGUAAGUAUGUCGAUUUGGUUUUGGUUACAACUCCUGGAGUGACAAGUUUUAUAGUAAGUUACAGUUGAGUCUGAAGUAUUAACUGCUUAAAUUAUACAACAAUAUAACCUGCUGAACACUUUCUGUCACAAGCUGUUUCCAUCUAUGCUUUUUUUUUAACCCACAUUUUCAAGUAUUGCAUUAGAAUCAGUUGAUGGAAACUGCAAAAUCCCAAAAAACUUUCACAGGAGCGGAGCGGACAGUUUCCAUCCACUGGUGGAUGAGGGGAGGUCUCUCUCCAUUUUGUGCUUCAUGCUACUUUUAUCACAGCCAUGCGUAGCGACAACCUGGCCUAGUUGUUUCCCUCCAAACUAGCAGAUGGGUCACAUUUUCUUUCCUCUUUAUCUUCUGCAAAAAAAAAACUCUAUUUUUUUUUUUUUGUUUUUGUUUACCUAAAACAUGCCCUUGUCAUGUCCGUGUGUACGGGACCUCAGUUAAUACAGCUCAUUUAUGAGUUCUGUUUCACUGUACGUCUCAUCCACAUAAACAUGAAAUGUAAACCUUUAUCUUAAAAACGAGCUGUCUUCCAGAAAUCCGUGUUGCAUCUCACCCAGAAGAAACUAGAGACCAACUCCUCCUCUAUAUAAAACCCACGGAUUUCCCUGUUCAUCACUAAACACAACUUUUGGUGGG